rnacentral:rRNA from 1 species
AGGAUUUGAUCCUGGUUCAGAAUAAACGCUAGUAGUAUGCUUUACACAUGCAAGUUGAAUGUUUUUAAACAUAGCGAACGGGUGAGUAAUAUGUAAAAGUUUGCCUUUUAGUCUAGGAUAAUUGUAAAGUAAAUUUAUUUACUUUAAUCGCAAAAAUACUAGAUAUUGAAAAGUUUUCUGCUAAAAGAUGCUUUUACACGGUAUUAGGUAGUUGGUAGAGUUUAGCCUACCAAGCUUAUAAUGCCUAGCGGGCCUUAACGGGUGUACCGCCACACUGGGACUGAGACAAGGCCCAGACUUAUUUUGAGGCAGCAGUGAGGAAUAUUGGACAAUGAACUAACGUUUGAUCCAGCAAUACUACGUAAGUGAAGACGGUCAUAUAGAUUGUAAAACUUUUUCGUCAAAGAAGAUAAAGACAUUAUUUGAGAAAGAAGCCCCGGCUAACUCUGUGCCAGCAGCCGCGGUAAGACAGGGGGGGCAAGUGUUAUUCACAGUUAUUAGGCGUAAAGGGUCCGUAGGUUUUUUUUAAAGUUAAAUUUCAAAUUCCUAAGCUUAACUUAGGGUUAUAAUUUAAUACUUUUAAAAUAGAGUUUAGUAGGGGGUAAUAGAAUUUCUAAUGUAAAGAUAAAAUUUUUCAAUAUUAGAAGGAAUUCCAGAGGCGAAGGCGAUUACCUGGGCUAAUACUGACACUGAGGGACGAAAGCUUAGGUAGCAAACGGGAUUAGAGACCCCGGUAGUCUAAGCCGUAAACGAUGAAUGUUUAAUAUAGGGAUUAUUCUGUAUUGAAGCUAACGCGUUAAACAUUCCGCCUGAGAAGUACGGUCGCAAGAUUAAAACUCAAAGGAAUUGACGGGAGUUCGGACCAGCGGUGGAGCAUGUGGUUUAAUUCGAUAAUACGCGAGAAACCUUACCAAUUCUUGAAAUUUUUUAAAAUUUAUAUAUCUUUAAACAGAUAAUAAAAAACAGGUGUUGCAUGGCUGUCGUCAGCUCGUGUCGUGAGAUGUUUUGGUUAACUCCUUAAUAACGAGCGAAACCCUUAUCUUUAUUUAAUUUUAAUAAAAGUUUUAUUAAUAAUAUUUAUAAAGAAACUGCCAGUGAAAAUUGGAGGAAGAGGAGGAUUACGUCAAGUCUUCAUGGCCCUUAUGAAUUGGGCUACACAUGUGCUACAAUGGUUUAUACAAAGAGAAGCUAUUAUGUGAAUAAAAGCAAAACUUUAAAGUAAAUCUUAGUCCGGAUUGUAGACUGAAACUCGUCUACAUGAAGUUGGAAUCGCUAGUAAUCGUAAAUCAGCAUGUUACGGUGAAAUAAAAAACGAACUUUGUACAAACCGCCCGUCACAUUAGGAAAGUAGGCCGAAUUCGAAGCAUGUUAUAUCUUUUUUUAUUUUUUAAUGUAUAUUUACAUUUAUAUAAUUUAAAAUUAAUGUGUUACAAUUUAGUCUGUAAUCGUAAUGAAGUCGUAACAAGGUAGCCGUAGGGGAACCUGCGGCUG